GGCAUUGUGGGAAAGACAGGGUUUAUUGGCACCACUGGAGCUAAAGGUCGACCUGGACGUGCCGGCCCACCUGGUCCUCCAGGAACUAAAGGAACACAGGGGCCAAUGGGUAAAAGAGGACAGCCUGGAAAGAAGGGGAUCAGAGGAGCUGCUGGGAAAGUUGGGACUGAAGGCCUGCGAGGGAAACCAGGACCUGCUGGACCACGAGGAAAACCCGC